rnacentral:rRNA from 1 species
GACGAACGCUGGCGGCGUGCUUAACACAUGCAAGUCGAACGAAGUGGCGACCGGGUGAGUAACGCGUAAUCAACCUGCCCUUCAGAGGGGGCCAACAGUUGGAAACGACUGCUACUACAGCAUACUUACGGAGGGGAAUGCGUCUGAGUAGCUAGUUGGAGGAGUAACGGCCCACCAGGGCGAUGAUCAGUAGCCGGUCUGAGAGGAUGAACGGCCACAGUGGGACUGAGACACGGCCCAGACUCCUACGGGAGGCAGCAGUGGGGAAUCUUCCGCAAUGGACGAAAGUCUGACGGAGCAACGCCGCGUGAGUGAUGACGGCCUUCGGGUUGUAAAGCUCUGUUAAUCGGGACGCGGUACCGGAAUAGAAAGCCACGGCUAACUACGUGCCAGCCGCCGCGGUAAUUC